rnacentral:tRNA from 1 species
GUCACAAUCGCCUAAAGGAUGGGCACCGAACUUCUAAUUCGGCAUUUGCUGGUUCGAGUCCAGCUUGUGAUG